GACCGCCUGUGAAGUUUACAUAUCACAGGCGGUCGAAAUAUUUCGACCGCCUGUGAUAUGUAAACUUCACAGGCGGUC
rnacentral:pre_miRNA from 7 species